rnacentral:rRNA from 1 species
UACGAAGGGUGCAAGCGUUACUCGGAAUUACUGGGCGUAAAGCGUGCGUAGGUGGUUUGUUAAGUCUGUUGUGAAAGCCCCGGGCUCAACCUGGGAAUGGCAAUGGAUACUGGCAGGCUAGAGUGCGGUAGAGGGUAGUGGAAUUCCCGGUGUAGCGGUGAAAUGCGUAGAGAUCGGGAGGAACACCAGUGGCGAAGGCGGUUCUCUGGGCCUUACCUGACGCUGAGGAGCGAAAGCGUGGGGAGCGAACAGG